AUGGCAAUACUCAGUAUGCCAUGGCUGCCUAAUUAUUAAUUAGACAACCAUUAGGGCCGCCGCACAGGAUUUCCUGUUUCCAUGUGCCGCCGCCGACAUCAAAAAAUUACAGGAUGCUGCGCUGGAAUGAUGUGACCAGUGCUUAAGACCAUUCUUCUAAGGACUCAGUUGGUUUGUUAUGUUCCUGCUUUGUCCCGACAAUCAAUUCAUAAAUAAACAUGUAGAAAGCUUGCGGCGAAUUUGUUUGGACACCGGUUCGAGUCCGGUCGGCUCCACCA
rnacentral:tmRNA from 1 species